GAUGAACGCUGACAGAAUGCUUAACACAUGCAAGUCUUUGGCGAAGCUGUGCUUGCACAGCCUAGCCAAGGCGGACGGGUGAGUAACGCGUAAGGAACUUGCCCUGCAGUCAGGGAUAACAGACGGAAACGACUGAUAAGACCUGGUAAAGUCAGGCGGACUCAUGUCCAGCCUGAUGAAAAGAGAUGCUGCAGGAGAGCCUUGCGUCCUAUUAGCUUGUUGGUGGGGUAACGGCCCACCAAGGCGAUGAUAGGUAGCCGGCCUGAGAGGGUGGACGGCCACAAGGGGACUGAGAUACGGCCCUUACUCCUACGGGAGGCAGCAGUGGGGAAUAUUGGACAAUGGGGGCAACCCUGAUCCAGCAAUUCUGUGUGCACGAUGAAGGUUUUCGGAUUGUAAAGUGCUUUCAGCAGGGAAGAAAAAAAUGACGGUACCGGCAGAAGAAGCGACGGCUAAAUACGUG
rnacentral:rRNA from 1 species